rnacentral:rRNA from 1 species
AAUUUCGGUUGACGUCUUAGUGGCGAACGGGUGAGUAACGCGUGAACAAUCUGACCUUAGGAGGGGGAUAACAACGAGAAAUCGUUGCUAAUACCGCAUAAGACCACAAUGCCGCAUGGCGAAGGGGUCAAAGGAGCAAUCCGCUUAAGGAGGGGUUCGCGUCCCAUUAGGUAGUAGGUGAGGUAACGGCCCACCUAGCCGACGAUGGGUAGCCGAGCUGAGAGGCUGAUCGGCCACACUGGAACUGAGACACGGUCCAGACUCCUACGGGAGGCGGCAGUGGGGAAUAUUGGGCAAUGGGCGCAAGCCUGACCCAGCAACGCCACGUGAGGGAAGAAGGUUUUCGGAUUGUAAACCUCUGUCGCAGAUGACGAAACAAAUGACGGUAAUCUGUGAGGAAGCCCCGGCUAACUACGUG